rnacentral:lncRNA from 1 species
CUACAUAAAGUAAAUAACAGGUGCAUCAAGAGCGAGCAUUUCAGCAAGGAAUCCAAUCGGUAAUAGAGAACAAAAAUAUUAAGGAGAUCAGUUUUUUAUUUAUUUAUGCACAGUGCCAACAAAAACUAUGAAACCACUUAAAAAUUGUUACGGAAAAGCUAGUGAGUGUGUUCUAGUUUCUCUUUAGCAUCUACUAACACCGUAAUAAAUAUAGAUUGCUAAAUCUUUAUAUAGUUUCAACUACACCAGACAUUGAAAUACUUGUACUUAAGUUGUUUGGAAUUAAGGAUUGGUCACAACCAAAAUGGAUACUUGACUUUGGAUAUAGUUAUCCAUUACUCAAAUCGAGAAAUGUUUUUUUUUAUCUUAAAUCUAGAAUCGUUAGCAGAGCAAAACGGUAGAUUACGGGAAUACUUCAGAGCAGAAGGUGUUAGAUAGAUCUCUCUCCCCUUGAGCCCAACGGCUCAAGGGGGCCUUGACCGCGCCCUGAUCGGGGGCGCCCAGCCCAAUGGCUGGUGGGCCCCCGUCACACUGCGCCAUAUAAAAGAGGGGUGGAGGCCGGCACGGCACAUGGUACGAGAUUCACCGCCGCCGCCAACUCCACCCCACAAAACCCUAAUCCGAUCGAGAGGGGGCGCAGCCAGUGACGGGAAACGCCACCGCCGCGCCACGCCUCAUCGCCGGGACGUCUACGACCACCACUGCCGCAGCCGUCAUCACCGUCGACCUCACCGGCGCCGCAUCCACGUCAAGCCGCGACGACAACGACGAUGUCCGGCGCCUCUUCCUCCACGAACUCCUCAACCGGUCGGUAUCUAAACCCUCUCCCUUUCAUCUACAAUGUCGUUCAUCAAACCCAAAUAGAACCACCCGACUAGAUCUAACCUAGGUGAUCCUAGAGCAAAGUCUAACAAUGGUAUCAGAGCAACCCUAGUGUUUAGAUCGUUUCGGGGAAAGAAAUCCAAAGAAAGAAAAGCACAAGAUCCGCACGGAUCAAAAGAACCAAAAACCCUAACCCUAAUUCUUACCUCGUCGCCGGCCGUCGUCGACGCCGGCAACGGAGGGGGGGAGGGGCAAAGAGGCGCCGCCUAGGAGCCACUCGACGGCCGCGCGCGCACCUGCACGCGCGUGCCGGCGAGGGGGCCCGCGGCGGCGCCGCCAUCUCCGUCGUCGCCAUCUCUCUCUCACACUGUGGGGGUUAGAGACGGUGGGGGGAGCGGAGAAGAGAAAAGAAAGGAGCGCCGGCCAUGGCGCGGCGGCGCGAGGGCCGCCGGCGUCGGCGACGCCGCUCGGCGCGACCGCGCCCGCCCGAGAGAGAGAAAGAGAGGAGAAGCUAGGGUUUCGGCGGCCGGCCGGGGCACGAGGGGUUUUGAUCCCCGUUUUCGGCGCCCGGCCGUCCGAUCGCAAACCCUAAGAUCGGACGGCCGGCGGCGGCCGGACCGAAAUCGGCCCAAGUGGGGAGCGCGCGGCGGCGGCUUUCCCGGCCCAGGCCCAGGUUGCGGCCUGGGGGAGGGGAGGGGGCGCUCGCCCGCGCGCAAGGUGGCCAUGGGCCGACCGGCAAAGGCCGGAAAAAAGUCCAUAUAAGGUCCCUCCGGGGCCGAAAAUGAAUAAAAGAGAACAGUAGCAUUUUUUCCAUUUUAUUUUGUCAAUUUUUCAUGCAAAUUUCAAUAGAAUUUUGAAUAGAUUUUUGCAUGUUUUACCUCUGUUUAAAUUUGAACCAACGGGAGAAUUUUCACAGAGAGAGAAUUACAGAGAUUUAGCUACUGUUCAUAUGAUUUUAUAUAGUCUUCCGCUGCAAAUAGAUGAAAUUGAUGAAAAUUAGUGUUUCUAAAAUUAAAUUUCGAACCAACGGGAGAAUUUAAUUUUAGGAACAUUAAUUAUGUGCUAUGAUGUUGUAAUUUUCUGACCAACGUUGUUAAUUGCAAUAUUAUAGUUAUGGUUAUAUGUGUUAUGUCUAAUUCUGCCCAACGGUGAUGUAGGCUUAAUGCAUAAUAUUUUAAUGUUAAUUUUGUUCUCACCGCACAUGAUUAUUUCAGGUGGCUACUCCUUGAUGGGUUGCAUUAAAGAUAUUCCGACCCUAAAAGGAGAUAACUACGCAGAAUGGAAAAGAAAACUCGACCUUGCUUUUAUCUUGGGAGAGGUGGACUGGGUAUUGACUACCCCAUGUCCUAUAGAACCUGCUGACCUUGUCAGAGGUGAAAAUGAGUCAGAUGCUGACUGGCAAAAGAGACAGAGGGACAAUGCUCCUCUCGUCAUGUCGUAUGACAUUGAACAAAAGAAAUGGUCCUUAGCCAACAAGAAAUGUUUGGCUGUGGUAAAGAAUACGAUUGAGCCUACCAUAUUGGGCUCGAUCCCAGAGUGUGACGCUGUCUCAGAGUACCUUGAAAGAAUAAAGAGUCAGUUUACUGGCUCUUCAAAGACUUAUGCUACACAGCUGAUCAAGCAGCUUGUGACAGAAAGGUACCAUGGAGGUGGUGUUAGAGACCACAUACUUAGAAUGAGCAACAUGGCUUCCAAAUUGAAGCCAAUGGAUUUGGGCAUAACAGAUGACUUUCUGGUCCAUCUGGUUAUGGCCUCAUUGCCAAAGCAGUUUGACAAUUUUAUUGUCAACUACAACAUAAGUCCAGAGAAAUGGAACUUUGAGAAGCUCAUUGCUAAUUGUGUGCAAGAGGAGGAGAGAAUCAAAGAAUCAAAUGGUGGUUCAAUAAACUAUGUUAAAGAUAAGAAAAAGAACCACAAGUCUCCCACCUCAAAAGGUAAACAGUCUCAGCAUCUGCCUCAACAACAACAGUUCGCUGUUGAGAAAGAUCAAUGUCUCCACUGCAAGAAGACAGGACACUACAAGAAAGAUUGUCCUGACUUUUUGAAAAUGAUCAUGGCAAAGAAAGGUGAGAACAUUAUUACAUUUGUAAAUGAAUCUCAUUAUGUUGGUUACUCUAGAUCCACAUGGUGGAUUGAUUCUGGAGCAACUAUUCAUGCUUGUAAUUGUUUAAAGGCAUUCCGUUCGACGAGGACUACGCAAAGAAGAGAAAGCACCAUUAGAGUUGCCAAUGGAGUUGAAGAAAAAGUUGAAGCUGUUGGAGAUCUUCCUCUAGAGCUCGCGAAUGGCUUCAUACUUUUACUUCGAGAUGUCUUUUAUGUUCCUUCUUUGCAAAGGAACUUAAUAAGUGUAUCAAAGUUGGAUUUUGAUGGACAUGAUUGCCGCUUUGGAAGUGGCAAAUGUGAACUAUGGCAUAAUAAUGCAUGUAUUGGUCUUGCUGUGUUGCGAGACGAGCUUUAUUUGUUAUCUCUUUCUGAGAAUGUGAAUGUUGUGUCCUCGUUGACAAAAGAAAACAAGAAAAGAAAGCGAACUCCCGAUGUCUCAUCGAAAUUAUGGCACUGUCGUUUGGGCCAUAUUUCGAGGGGGAGAAUUGAGAGACUAGUUAAGAAUGAAAUUCUUCCUCCAUUGGAGUUCUCAGACUUAGAACAAUGCAUAGAAUGCAUUAAAGGAAAAUUUGUAAAGAGCAUCAAAAAGGGUGCAAAACGAAGCGCAGGAAUUUUAGAGAUCAUUCAUACAGAUAUUUGUGGUCCAUUUCCUGUGAAAAAGUGUGGAUGGCUAUGACUCGUUCAUAACAUUCACAGAUGAUUACUCCCGCUAUGGUUAUAUUUAUCCAAUUAAAGAGCGAUCAGAAGCACUGGAUAAAUUUAAGAUAUUCAAAGCUGAAGUUGAAAAUCAGCAUGAUAUAAAGAUUAAAGUAGUAAGAUCUGACCGUGGGGGGGAGUACUAUGGUCGACAUACGCCUUAUGGGCAAGUCCCUGGACCUUUUGCAAGGUUCUUGCUAGAGAAUGGAAUAGUAGCCCAGUAUUCAACACCGGGCGAACCUCAACAGAAUGGGGUAGCUGAAAGGCGCAACCGUACCCUUAUGGAUAUGGUGCGCAGCAUGAUGAGCUACUCCACACUACCACUCGGUUUAUGGAUGGAGGCGUUAAAAACCGCCAUUCAUAUUCUCAACAGAGUUCCAAGCAAAUCGGUGCCCAAAACACCGUAUGAGCUAUGGACAGGGAGAGUACCCUCGCUAACUCACCUCCGUGUGUGGGGGAGUCCUGCAGAGGCCAAAGUAUUUAACCCAAAUAUUGGGAAGUUGGACCCCAAAACAGUCAGUUGCCAUUUUAUUGGCUAUCCUGAAAGAUCAAAAGGCUAUCGUUUCUACUGUCCAAACAGUUAUACAAAGUUUGUAAAAACGAGACACGCCGUCUUCUUGGAAGACGAAAUGAUUAAGGGGAGCUCGGUAGUUCGAGAAAUUGAUCUUGAGGAGAGGCGGGUGUCUGUACCCGCUCCGUCGACUCAGGAACCUUUCUUCUCUCUACCUGCUGAUGUUGUGCCUGCAAUGCCUGUCAUUGAGGUACCAGCACCUGUUGUUACCCCUCCUGUGGCAACAAUGAAUGAGAGUGAGGAACCUGUUAUACAGGAUUCAACAGAAAUGGUUGCCACACCAGAGGAGGAGCUACAACAGCCUCAAAUAGAUAAUGUGCCAGUACAGGAGACUCAUCAAGAGCCUCAGGUACAGGAUGUGCCAAAUGUGCAGGCCCCUAGAAGGUCUGAAAGAGUCAGAAGAUCGGCUAUCCGUGAUGACUAUAAAGUUUAUAAUAUAGAAGAGUCGCAUAUGGAGGAUGAUCCCACCUCAUAUGAAGAGGCCAUGAGAAGCGCUCGCUCAUCUGAAUGGUUGGAAGCCAUGAAAGAUGAAAUGAAAUCAAUGAAACUAAACGAUGUUUGGGAUUUAGAAGAAAUUCCUAAAGGAGCCAAAACAGUAGGCUGUAAAUGGGUCUACAAAACCAAAUAUGACUCCAGAGGGAAUAUAGAAAAGUUUAAAGCGCGACUUGUGGCAAAAGGCUUCACGCAACGAGAAGGGAUUGAUUACAAUGAGACAUUUUCUCCAGUCUCUUGUAAAGAUUCCUUCAGGAUUAUAAUGGCACUAGUGGCACAUUAUGAUUUGGAAUUACAUCAGAUGGAUGUAAAAACGGCAUUUCUAAAUGGAGAUUUGGAGGAAAAAGUAUACAUGGCGCAACCGAAAGGUUUUGUCAUGAAAGGAAACGAAAAUAUGGGAUGUCGCCUAAAGAGAUCCAUUUAUGGAUUAAAGCAAGCUUCGAGACAGUGGUACUUGAAGUUUGAUGGGACAAUAAAGAAAUUUGGGUUUCAAGAGAAUGUCGAGGACAACUGUAUUUAUUCAAAGUUUAAGAAUGGGAGAUUUAUUUUCCUAAUUCUGUAUGUGGAUGACAUUCUACUGGCUAGUAGUGAUGUCAGUCUACUGCAGGAAACAAAGAAAUUCUUGUCCUCAAACUUUGACAUGAAAGACCUCGGUGAGGCUUCAUAUGUUUUGGGCAUAGAGAUUCACCGAGAUAGAACAAAGUAUGCAUUGGGACUUUCUCAAAAGACAUAUAUAGAAAAGGUGUUGAAGAAAUUCAACAUGUACAGAUGCAGUGCUACACCUGCUCCUAUAAUGAAAGGCGAAAAGUAUGGGGCAUCGCAAUGUCCCAGAAAUCAGUAUGAGCUCAAUGAAAUGAAAACAAAGCCAUAUGCGUCAGCUGUAGGAAGCCUACAGUACGCGCAAGUGUGCACACGACCUGACUUGGCAUUUGUUACCGGGUUACUUGGCAGAUUUCAGAGUAAUCCAGGCCUAGAGCACUGGAAAUUGGUAAAGAAAGUCUUGCGUUAUUUGCAAGGAACAAAAGGCCUCAUGCUGUCUUACAGAAGAUCAGAAUCACUCCAGAUAGUGGGGUACUCAGAUUCUGACUUUGCAAAAGAUAAUACAAAGUCAACAUCGGGAUACGUGUUUACCCUGACAGGAGGAGCUAUUUCAUGGAAAAGCUCAAAACAGACUAUCACUGCAGGGUCUACUAUGUAUGGCGAGUUUAUAGCAUGCUAUGAGGCAACGGGGCAGGUGAACUGGCUAAAGAAGUUCAUACCCGGUUUAAAGGUGGUUGACAGUAUUGAGAAACCGCUAAAGUUAUACUGCGACAACGAACCCGCAGUAAUGUACGCUCACAACAAUCAGUCAAGUGGUGCUGCCAAACACAUUGACAUAAAGUACUAUGUUGUGAAGGACAAAGUCCGGGAUCAAACAAUCAGUCUCGAGCACAUUAAAACAGAAAGGAUGCUCGCGGAUCCGCUCACGAAAGGCCUACCACCCAACGUGUUCAAGGAACAUGUAGCCGGCAUGGGUUUAAGGGAAGCCUUAUGAAUCCUGGACUACAGGGCCCAAAAGUAAAGUAUCUGUUUCUGAAUAGAGAUGUGUAUAGUGGCUGUCGAAUCCAUCGGCGAUUGACCGUGACGAUGAAACAUGCUCUAUUUACAAAUCUGUGAUGGAAUAGAAAAAGCUAAAAGAAAAAGUGAGAUCAAGGGGGAGAAUGUUAGAUAGAUCUCUCUCCCCUUGAGCCCAACGGCUCAAGGGGGCCUUGACCGCGCCCUGAUCGGGGGCGCCCAGCCCAAUGGCUGGUGGGCCCCCGUCACACUGCGCCAUAUAAAAGAGGGGUGGAGGCCGGCACGGCACAUGGUACGAGAUUCACCGCCGCCGCCAACUCCACCCCACAAAACCCUAAUCCGAUCGAGAGGGGGCGCAGCCAGUGACGGGAAACGCCACCGCCGCGCCACGCCUCAUCGCCGGGACGUCUACGACCACCACUGCCGCAGCCGUCAUCACCGUCGACCUCACCGGCGCCGCAUCCACGUCAAGCCGCGACGACAACGACGAUGUCCGGCGCCUCUUCCUCCACGAACUCCUCAACCGGUCGGUAUCUAAACCCUCUCCCUUUCAUCUACAAUGUCGUUCAUCAAACCCAAAUAAAACCACCCGACUAGAUCUAACCUAGGUGAUCCUAGAGCAAAGUCUAACAGAAGGAAGCUUACCAAAUUGACUCCAGGGAGUAUGUAACUAGCUAGCCUGUCAUCAAUCGAAACUGGCAGCGGAGGCAUUUUGCUCAUUAUCCCAGGCAUUUGGCUCAUGCUGUUUAUUGAGAUAAUCAUCACAUUAGAUAUAGCAUGGAAG